UCUAUGCUAAUAUUAAACUGAAAUCUAAAAAAGAAAUGAAGAAAAAGAAGAAAUACAAGAAAGGUAAAACUUUCUAUGAAGGCAUAAAGCUUUGACAAAUGUUUUUUUUUUACUUUAUUCAUUACAAAAGAUGCUCAUCUUUAUUCUAUUACAACAGAUGAUAAAGACACAAGCGCAGGUAUGUCUUGAUAUAAUUUAAUGUUGUUUAUCUCAUGACAAUUAAACAAUUUUAAGGUUAAACUUUUCCUUUAGCAUUGUCUCAGGCUGGCCACAGUGAUGUCAUGUAUUCACAGGUCAACUUCAAGAAAAAUAAACUUAAGAGCAAAUGUAGAAACUACCAAAGGAGUAAAACUAAAGACUGAGAGGAGAAAACUCUUAAUCAUUUCUUUAUUCUUUUUUAUAGACAAUGUAAGUGAAGCAGCUGAUCACAUCUAUGCUAAUAUUGAACUGAAACCAAAGAAAGAAAUGAAGAAAAAGAAGACAUACAAGAAAGACAAUGAAAGUGAAGCAGGUGAUCACAUCUAUGCUAAUAUUGAACUGAUAUCUAAGAAAGAAAUGAAGAAAAAGAAGAGAGACAAGAAAGGAAAUACCAGUGAAUGUGGGAACAAAGUGUACUCUAAACUGAAGAAAGGAGGAGGUCAAGGUGUUGCUUUUGGAUCUGUUGAUGUGGCCUACUCUUAGACUAAUUAAAAAAACAGAAGAGGAAAAGACGACAAUACAGGAGCUAUUGCUUAAUAUUAUCAAUAUAAAGCUU